UACGGGGGGUGCAAGCGUUAUUCGGAAUCAUUGGGCGUAAAGGGCGCGUAGGCGGCCUGUUAAGUCAGAUGUGAAAGCCCGGGGCUCAACCCCGGAAGUGCAUUUGAAACUAAUAGGCUUGAGUAUGGGAGAGGGAAGUGGAAUUCCUGGUGUAGAGGUGAAAUUCGUAGAUAUCAGGAGGAACACCGGUGGCGAAGGCGACUUCCUGGACCAAUACUGACGCUGAGGCGCGAAGGCGUGGGUAGCAAACAGG
rnacentral:rRNA from 1 species